AGGAAGAAGAAGGAAAGAGGAAGUUAGUUGUGCCUGUAUGUUUCCAGUGCAUUUUUUUCUCUUUAGUUUUGCAGCAAUGGUUAAAUCUGUUGGAGUUAAAAAUAAAUAAAUAAAAGUAAAUAACAGCAUUCAGACACAUUCAAUCGGUUCAUGUGUAAAUCCUGAGGCCUGGACUCUGAAGAAUAAGGGGAUAUCUGUGUUAUACCAUCUGUGUUAUACCAUACUAUUCACAAAGUGACCAUCAUCAUCAUCACAUCAUCAUCAUCAUCAGUCAUGAUCCCUCGUUUUCUCCUAAUGGUUCUGCGGGUUCUCCCCUGCUUUCAGUUCUUCACAAAGGCCGAGUACCCAAAUGUAUCAGACUAAUGCUGUUUCAGAUACCAGAGAAAUCCAAUCCCUAUCAGACUCAUUACAGGGUAUAAACUAUCAGACCAUCUGUGUUCAAAACCUGGAGUCAUCUUCACCCGUCAUGUGUGUGUAGAUCCUGAACUUGAG